UACGUAUGGGCGAGCGUUGUUCGGAAUUAUUGGGUGUAAAGGGCGUCUAGGCGGGAGAUUAAGUUAGAUGUGAAAGGCGUGGGCUUAACCCUGGGUCUGCAGUGGAUACGGGCAGGCUUGAGUCCGGCAGGGGAGACUGGAAUUCCUGGUGUAGCGGUGAAAUGCGCAGAUAUCAGGAGGAACACCGGUGGCGAAGGCGGGUCUCUGGGCCGGUACUGACGCUGAGGAGCGAAAGCGUGGGGAGCGAACAGGAUUAGAUACCCCUGUAGUCCCUGA
rnacentral:rRNA from 1 species